rnacentral:tRNA from 1 species
UGGUCCGUUGGUCAAGGGGUUAAGACACUGCCUUUUCACGGCGGUAACACGGGUUCGAAUCCCGUACGGACUAU